CAUAGCGGUAUCCUGAGUAACGCGGGACACGAGGAAUCCUGCGCGAAUCUGCCGGGACCAUCCGGUAAGGCUAAAUACUCCCGUGAGACCGAUAGCGAACGAGUACUGUGAAGGAAAGGUGAAAAGAACCCCGAGCAGGGGAGUGAAAUAGUUCCUGAAACCAUACGCCUACAAGCGGUCGGAGCAUCUUACGAUGUGACGGCGUGCCUUUUGCAUAAUGAUCCUACGAGUUACCGUCACUGGCGAGGUUGAGUGUCACGAGACACGUAGCCGCAGUGAAAGCGAGCCUGAACAGGGCGCACAGUCAGUGGGGGUAGACGCGAAACCAAGUGAUCUACACUUGGCCAGGAUGAAGUCCCGGUAACACGGGAUGGAGGUCCGCACCAAUAAGCGUUGAAAAGCUUCUGGAUGAGCCGAGUGUAGGAGUGAAAGGCCAAUCAAACUUGGAGAUAGCUCGUACUCCCCGAAAGGCAUUUAGGUGCCGCGUCGGAUGGUCACCGUGAGAGGUAGAGCGACCGAUAGGACAAGAGGGCUUCACCGCCUAUCGAGUCCUGACGAACUCCGAAUGCUCACGGUCUGCAGUCCGGCAGUAAGGGGGCGGGUGCUAAGGUCCGUCCCCGAGAGGAGAAGAAUCCAGACCGCCGUCUAAGGUCCCGGAGUUCUGCCUGAGUUAGUCUAACGAAGUCUGGUCCCUAUGACAGCUAGGAUGUUGGCUUGGAAGCAGCCAUUCAUUCAAAGAGUGCGUAACAGCUCACUAGUCGAGGGUCCGGGCAUGGAUAAUAAUCGGGUAUAAGGCAGACACCGAAGGCGCGGGAUAGCAAUUAUAAAAGUAUCGGUAGGGGAGCAUACUCACAGCGUCGAAUGGUGUACGUAAGUUAUCCUGGAGCGGUGAGUAAAGCAAAUGUAGGAAUAAGUAACGAUAAGGAGGGUUAGAUUCCCUCCCGCUGUAAGACCAAGGUUUCCCGGGCAAUGCCAAUCAGCCCGGGGUCAGUCGGGUCCUAAGUCUAAGCCGAACGGCGAUGGCGAUGGCAGAGACGGUUAAUAUUCCGUCACUGCCGCAUGGGGCGA
rnacentral:rRNA from 1 species